UGUGGGUAGGGGUGAAAGGCCAAUCAAACUCCGUGAUAGCUGGUUCUCCCCGAAAUGCAUUUAGGUGCAGCGUCGCAUGUGUGCUUGUUGGAGGUAGAGCUACUGGUUGGUUGAGCGGGACGAUAAUCUUAGCAACAUCAGCUAAACUCCGAAUGCCAGCAAUGUGGGUGCGGCAGUGAGACUGCGGGGGAUAAGCUCCGUUGGUCGAGAGGGAAACAGCCCAGAUCGUCGGUUAAGGCCCCUAAGGGUGUGCUCAGUGGGAAAGGAUGUGGGAUCGCGAAGACAGCCAGGAGGUUGGCUUAGAAGCAGCCAUCCUUGAAAGAGUGCGUAAUAGCUCACUGGUCGAGUGGUUCUGCGCCGAUAAUGUAGCGGGGCUUAAGUACACCGCCGAAACCGCGGCAGCACACGUAAGGUGUGUUGGGUAGGGGAGCGUCGUGCAUGUGUUGAAGCUACUUGGUGACAGGUGGUGGAGUGUGUGCGAGUGAGAAUGCAGGCAUGAGUAACGAUUGAUGUGUGAGAAACAUAUCCGCCGGAUGACUAAGGGUUCCUGGGUGAAGUUUGUCUUCCCAGGGUGAGUCGGGGCCUAAGGCGAGGCCGACAGGCGUAGUCGAUGGAUGACGGGUUGAUAUUCCCGUACCCGUGUGCGUGCGACAAGUGAUGAAUCUUAUGGUACUAACCGCCCGCUUACGUGCACUGGUCUUUUUGGUUGGUGUGUGUGGGUGCGUGGGAUCUUCGUGGGUAGUAGUCAAGUGAUGGGGUGACGCAGAGUGGUAGCUAGGCUUCCUUAUUGGAUUGGAGUGCAAGCGUGUGGCCUGUGGGGUUGGGAAAUCCGCCCCGCGUUAAGGGUGAGGCGUGAUGCGGACACCAUUAUUGGUGGUAGUUAGUGUGCCUGUGCUGCCGAGAAAAGCCUCUAGCGAGUGCGUGCAUGGCCCGUACCGGAAACCGACACAGGUGGUCAGGUAGAGAAUACUAAGGCGUUCGGGUGAACUGUGGUUAAGGAACUCGGCAAAAUGCCCCCGUAACUUCGGGAGAAGGGGGACCAUUACUGGUUGCUGACAGCAUGAUGGCUGGUGGUGGUCGCAGAGGAGAGAGGGAAGCGACUGUUUAUUAAAAACACAGGUCCGUGCGAAAACGUGGAAGUUGAGGUAUACGGACUGACGCCUGCCCGGUGCUGGAAGGUUAAGAGGACCCGUUAGUGCGCCUAGUGCGUGCGAGGCGGAGAAUUGAAGCCCCAGUAAACGGCGGUGGUAACUAUAACCAUCCUAAGGUAGCGAAAUUCCUUGUCGGGUAAGUUCCGACCUGCACGAAUGGCGUAACGACUUCCCUGCUGUCUCAACCACAGGCCCGGUGAAAUUGCAGUACGAGUAAAGAUGCUCGUUUCGCGCGGCAGGACGAAAAGACCCCGGGACCUUUACUAUAGCUUGGUAUUGGUGUUUGGUCAUGCUUGUGUAGGAUAGGUGGGAGACUGUGAAGCCGUAACGCUAGUUGUGGUGGAGUCGCAGGUGAAAUACCACUCUGGUGUGAUUGGGUACCUGAACCUUGGCCCGUGAUCCGGGUUGGGGACAGUGCCUGGUGGGUAGUUUAACUGGGGCGGUUGCCUCCUAAAUGGUAACGGAGGCGCCCAAAGGUUUCCUCAGUCUGGUUGGCAAUCAGAUGGUGAGUGUAAGUGUAUAAGGGAGCUUGACUGUGACACUGACGGGUGGAGCAGGUGCGAAAGCAGGGACUAGUGAUCCGGCACCUACGUGUGGUUGUGGUGUCGCUCAACGGAUAAAAGGUACCCCGGGGAUAACAGGCUGAUCUUCCCCAAGAGUUCAUAUCGACGGGAUGGUUUGGCACCUCGAUGUCGGCUCGUCGCAUCCUGGGGCUGGAGUAGGUCCCAAGGGUUGGGCUGUUCGCCCAUUAAAGCGGCACGCGAGCUGGGUUUAGAACGUCGUGAGACAGUUCGGUCUCUAUCCGCCGCGCGCGUUGAAACUUGAAGAAGGCUGUCCCUAGUACGAGAGGACCGGGAUGGACGUACCUCUGGUAUGCCAGUUGUCACGCCAGUGGCAUGGCUGGUUAGCUACGUGCGGGAGGGAUAACCGCUGAAAGCAUCUAAGCGGGAAGCCUGUUUUAAGAUGAGGUUUCUGUUGAGGUUCCCUGGAGAUGAUGGGGUUGAUAGGCCAGGGCUGUGAGCAUGGUGACGUGUUGGAGGUGACUGGUACUAAUACACCGACACAAAAAACACC
rnacentral:rRNA from 1 species